UACGUAGGGUGCAAGCGUUAAUCGGAAUUACUGGGCGUAAAGCGUGCGCAGGCGGUUUUGUAAGUCUGUCGUGAAAUCCCCGGGCUCAACCUGGGAAUUGCGAUGGAGACUGCAAGGCUAGAAUCUGGCAGAGGGGGGUAGAAUUCCACGUGUGAGCAGUGAAAUGCGUAGAGAUGUGGAGGAACACCGAUGGCGAAGGCAGCCCCCUGGGU
rnacentral:rRNA from 1 species